UACGAAGGGGGCAAGCGUUGCUCGGAAUUACUGGGCGUAAAGGGCGCGUAGGCGGAUAGUUUAGUCAGAGGUGAAAGCCCAGGGCUCAACCCUGGAAUUGCCUUUGAUACUGGCUAUCUUGAGUGCGGGAGAGGUGAGUGGAACUCCGAGUGUAGAGGUGAAAUUCGUAGAUAUUCGGAAGAACACCAGUGGCGAAGGCGACUCACUGGCCCGAUACUGACGCUGAGGCGCGAAAGCCAGGGGAGCAAACGGG
rnacentral:rRNA from 1 species